rnacentral:rRNA from 1 species
GAACGUCCUCUUCUUCUUUUAUAGGGAUAGGGAGUGGCGGACGGGUGAGGAACACAUGGGUGACCUACCCUGACGAGAGGGAUACCGGCGAGAAAUCGCCGACAAACCCGCAUAGGGUCUGCUCGGUCGAGCGAGCGGAGCAAAGGUUUCUGCAAAGGAGCCGCGUUGGGAUGGGCCUGUGGCCGAUUAGCUGGUUGGUGGGGUAAGGGCCUACCAAGGCGACGAUCGGUAGCUGGUCUGAGAGGACGGACAGCCACACUGGGAUUGAGAACGGCCCAGACUCCUACGGGGGGCAGCAGUGAGGAAUUUUCCGCAAUGGGGGCAACCCUGACGGAGCAACGCCGCGUGCAGGAGGACGCUUUUCGGAGUGUAAACUGCUUUUGUGUGGGACGAGAGAGGACGGUACCACACGAAGAAGCCCCGGCUAACUACGUG